rnacentral:rRNA from 1 species
ACUCCUACGGGAGGCAGCAGUGGGGAAUAUUGCACAAUGGGCGCAAGCCUGAUGCAGCCAUGCCGCGUGUGUGAAGAAGGCCUUCGGGUUGUAAAGUACUUUCAGCAGUGAGGAAGGCGGGUACGUUAAUAGCGUGCUCGUUUGACGUUAGCUGCAGAAGAAGCACCGGCUAACUCCGUGCCAGCAGCCGCGGUAAUACGGAGGGGGUUGAGCGUUGUUCGGAAUUACUGGGCGUAAAGCGCGCGUAGGCGGACUGGAAAGUUGGGGUGAAUCCAGGGCUCAACCCUGGAACUGGCCUCCAAAACUAUCAGUCUAGAGUUCGAGAGAGGUGAGUGGAAUUCCGAGUGUAGAGGUGAAAUUCGUAGAUAUUCGGAGGAACACCAGUGGCGAAGGCGGCUCACUGGCUCGAUACUGACGCUGAGGUGCG